GAUGAACGCUGGCGGCGUGCCUAAUACAUGCAAGUCGAGCGAACGGACGAGAAGCUUGCUUCUCUGAUGUUAGCGGCGGACGGGUGAGUAACACGUGGAUAACCUACCUAUAAGACUGGGAUAACUUCGGGAAACCGGAGCUAAUACCGGAUAAUAUUUUGAACCGCAUGGUUCAAAAGUGAAAGACGGUCUUGCUGUCACUUAUAGAUGGAUCCGCGCUGCAUUAGCUAGUUGGUGAGGUAACGGCUUACCAAGGCAACGAUGCAUAGCCGACCUGAGAGGGUGAUCGGCCACACUGGGACUGAGACACGGUCCAGACUCCUACGGGAGGCAGCAGUAGGGAAUCUUCCGCAAUGGGCGAAAGCCUGACGGAGCAACGCCGCGUGAGUGAUGAAGGUCUUCGGAUCGUAAAACUCUGUUAUUAGGGAAGAACAUAUGUGUAAGUAACUGUGCACAUCUUGACGGUACCUAAUCAGAAAGCCACGGCUAACUACGUG
rnacentral:rRNA from 1 species